AACUUUAUAGUCAAUAGUAAUAUGAUAUUAGACUGCAAUUCUAAAGGAAUAAUUUUUUUUUUAUUAAAGUUU
rnacentral:tRNA from 1 species